AGCGAACGCUGGCGGCAGGCUUAACACAUGCAAGUCGAGCGGGCAUCCUUGUGGUGUCAGCGGCAGACGGGUGAGUAACGCGUGGGAACGUGCCCUUCGGUUCGGAAUAACUCAGGGAAACUUGAGCUAAUACCGCAUACGUGCGAGAGCAGAAAGGUUUAUCUGCCGAAGGAUCGGCGCGCGUCUGAUUAGCUAGUUGGUGAGGUUAUGGCUCACCAAGGCGACGAUCAGUAGCUGGUCUGAGAGGAUGAUCAGCCACACUGGGACUGAGACACGGCCCAGACUCCUACGGAAGGCAGCAGUGGGGAAUAUUGGACAAUGGGGGCAACCCUGAUCCAGCCAUGCCGCGUGAGUGAUGACGGCCUUAGGGUUGUAAAGCUCUUUUCUCCGGGACGAUAAUGACGGUACCGGAGGAAUAAGCCCCGGCUAACUUCGUG
rnacentral:rRNA from 1 species